CCAUUACGCCGGGCGAACGGGUUACAUUGAUAGUGUAAAAUAGGAGAAGCAAUGUCUCUAAUGGUAG
rnacentral:tRNA from 1 species